CCUACGGGAGGCAGCAGUGGGGAAUAUUGGACAAUGGGGGGAACCCUGAUGCAGCGACGCCGCGUGAGUGAAGAAAUAUUUCGGUAUGUAAAGCUCUAUCAGCAGGGAAGAAAGAAAUGACGGUACCUGACUAAGAAGCCCCGGCUAACUACGUGCCAGCAGCCGCGGUAAUACGUGGGGGGCAAGCGUUAUCCGGAUUUACUGGGUGUAAAGGGAGCGUAGACGGCGAUGCAAGUCUGAAGUGAAAGGCGGGGGCUCAACCCCCGGACUGCUUUGGAAACUGUAUGGCUGGAGUGCAGGAGAGGUAAGUGGAAUUCCUAGUGUAGCGGUGAAAUGCGUAGAUAUUAGGAGGAACACCAGUGGCGAAGGCGGCUUACUGGACUGUAACUGACGUUGAGGCUCGAAAGCGUGGGGAGCAAACAGGAUUAGAUACCCUGGUAGUC
rnacentral:rRNA from 1 species